rnacentral:lncRNA from 1 species
GCCUGUUCAAUAAAGACGAAUUGGAAAAGGAGUUUUUCCUCAACGCUAGAAGGAAAUUUCUUUGAAAUUGGAUUUGUAGUGGGAUUUUCUACCGAAGGUAAAAUUGCUUUUAAUUGAGAAUAAGAGAAAAUGCUUUUAAUUGAUCCAAGUGAGAUAUAUCAAAAGAGGAUAAUAAUCUUCCACUUUCCUCUGAAAAGGACAUUUUUAUUCUAUUAUUCCUAUUUGUCAAUAGAUAUAUGUUUAAAUGUUGGUAUGGCCCCACAACAAAGAAUCAUGCUAUAGAGUUUUUGCUUCACGGGAAAUAAACAUCUUACGGAGCCAGCAAAUGAAUAGAAGAUUCAUUAAGAGCCUAAUUUUCAUUUAAAAAACAAAAAAAACACAUUUUACUACUCCAAAUUCGUGCACUUUUGCCCUGCUUCUAUUCUCUUUUUCUUACGUUGUUCUCCUUUGGUUUCUCUUCCGGUUUAUGUCAGUUGCUUAACUCAAUGACGCUUGAUUGCUUGGUAUGUUGCAUCUGAACAAAUAAUUCCUUGCCUAUGAAGGUUCUUUGAUUUGUCUUAUUCCUUUCCAAAUCACUCAGGUGGCCAGCUGCCGAGCAUGCAGAGGUGUGUGUCAACCACAGUAUGCCUUUGAGGAGCAGAGUCCAAAAAAUAUAAAUAGUUAGUAAGAUUCCCAAAAAGAAAGAAAAUGGAGCUAAAUAGGUCAAAGUAACAUUUCCCAUCAUGUUGCAAUAUAAUAUGAAUUUAAAUUGUAAGCAAAGCUGCCCUGAUACGAUUAUUUUCAAGUAGUCGAAUCACCUCAUGAAUCCUCAAUUAGACCAGUUCUGGAUGUGGACUAACAUGUGUAGAAUCUGGGUGGUACCACAACGCCUUUCAUGUUUGACGUGGUCGAGAUUCUAAUUAAGUUCUUCUUGGUUCCAAAAUAAAUGCUUUUUCGGCGGCUAAACAAUUUAGG